GUAGAAGCAGCAGGGCUGGAGGAGGAGGUAGAAACAGCAACGGCGGGGCAGGCACCCGAUUAAAACUGCGUCUUCAAAAGGACGCAGUAGGAGGCCUGGCUCUGUGUUUCUGUGAUGUUCGGUGAUCUGAGCUCGAUAAUAAAGUCUGUACACACAGAAGUCAAACAAGAUUAGCCCCGCCUUGGGAUCCCCUGAGUACCACCGACGCAAGAGUGAAUCUUCAAUCGGAGGAAAGGAAAGAGGAAUCUAAUCCUGAAGACGGGAUGCUGUACCCUCAUUGACAGUGGAUCUUGCAAGCGCUGACCAUAAUCUUCCCAGGCAACCACCGCAGCAGGAUGUUGUGAUACAAAAUCAUCUUUCCCGAGGCAAAGAAGAGGGGAUAUGCUGUGAAGCCUGUGAAGACAGAACCAACAUACUACCUGUUACACUUCAGCAACUUCAGCACCCCCACCCACACUCUGGUUGGUUGGCUGGCUGGCUGCGACUAGGGGACACAGCCAAUGGUGUGCCACAACAUGAAGACGCUGCAAUUUGAUUGGAGGAGAAGAGGCCGGCGACCGUAGAAGCAGAAGAGGAAGAGGAGAGCCAGUCGAGGAGGGUGUGUGUGUGUGUGUGUGUGUGUGUGUGUGUGUGUGGUAGGUGGUCACCUCAAGGUCACUGCCUUGCUGAAGUAAUUUUUUAUGGAUCCAACCAGAUUACUUGUCCUGUCUUCCUACACUAAAUUAUACUUUACCUACUGUGUCAUCCAC
ensembl:lncRNA